UACAGGGGGUGCAAACGUUGCUCGGAAUCAUUGGGCGUAAAGCGCACGUAGGCGGAUCUUUAAGUCAGGGGUGAAAUCCCAAGGCUCAACCUUGGAACUGCCUUUGAUACUGGGGAUCUCGAGUCCGGAAGAGGUUGGUGGAACUGCGAGUGUAGAGGUGAAAUUCGUAGAUAUUCGCAAGAACACCAGUGGCGAAGGCGGCCAACUGGUCCGGAACUGACGCUGAGGUGCGAAAGCGUGGGGAGCAAACAGG
rnacentral:rRNA from 1 species